rnacentral:rRNA from 1 species
AACGUAGGACGCAAGCGUUAUCCGGAGUUACUGGGCGUAAAGCGCGGGCAGGCGGUUACUCAAGUCUGAUGUGAAAGCGCUUGGCUCAACCAAGCGAUGCCAUUGGAAACUGGGCAACUGGAGUCUGGCAGAGGUAGGCGGAAUUCCGGGUGGAGUGGUGAAAUGCGUAGAUAUGCGGAGGAACACCGAUGGCGAAGGCAAUCCCCUGGGCUGACACUGACGCUCAUGCACGAAAGCGUGGGGAGCAAACAGG